GGGAAAAGCUCAAAUUUAAAAUCUGGCGGUCUUUGUCCGUCCGAGUUGUAAUUUAGAGAAGCGUCUUCCGCGCCGGACCGUGCACAGUCUCCUGGAAUGGAGCGUCAUAGAGGGUGAGAAUCCCGUCUUUGGCACGGAGCCCCCGGGGCUUCUGUGAUGCGCUCUCAAAGAGUCGAGUUGUUUGGGAAUGCAGCUCAAAAUGGGUGGUGAACUCCAUCUAAAGCUAAAUAUUGGCGAGAGACCGAUAGCGAACAAGUACCGUGAGGGAAAGAUGAAAAGCACUUUGGAAAGAGAGUGAAACAGUACGUGAAAUUGUUGAAAGGGAAACGCUUGGAGUCAGUCGCGUCGACCGAGACUCAGCCUCGCCUCGGCUUGUUGUACUUCUCGGCUUGACGGGCCAGCAUCAAUUUCAUCCUUUGUAUAAUGACGAGGGAAAGGUAGCACACUUAUGGGUGUGUUAUAGUCUCUUGUCGCAUGCGAGGGGUGGGAUUGAGGAACUCAGCACGCGCCUUCUAGGUGUCGGGGCUUUUUGGGCCACGUUUUACGU
rnacentral:rRNA from 1 species